rnacentral:rRNA from 1 species
GGGGGGCUGCUCCUAGUACGAGAGGACCGGAGUGGACGCAUCACUGGUGUUCGGGUUGUCAUGCCAAUGGCACUGCCCGGUAGCUAAAUGCGGAAGAGAUAAGUGCUGAAAGCAUCUAAGCACGAAACUUGCCCCGAGAUGAGUUCUCCCUGAGACUUAAAGUCUCCUGAAGGAACGUUGAAGACGACGACGUUGAUAGGCCGGGUGUGUAAGCGCAGCGAUGCGUUGAGCUAACCGGUACUAAUGAACCGUGAGGCUUAACCUU